GUUUCGUUAAUGUGGAUUUAAAACAAUGUAUUUAAUAUUUUUGUUUGGCUUGCAUUUUAUUUUAUCAGUAGACAGCAGUCUGACUGUGUCUGUACGACUGUGUGCUUGAUAUUGCUGAUGACCAUGAGCGAUGGCAAUUCUAACCUAACCCAAAGAAGAAUUUCACAGGACAUCAUUCUUUAAUGAAUAAAUACUGUGUAGCCAGAACAAUGAAGCCUUUGAAGACAGCAUGAUCACUGCAGUGUCAUUUUUUUAUUUACAUCACAAUUUGAAUGCAUGUUACACCUACUUCGAAACAGGACUUGAAAGUUUUAAUACUAUUU